UCAAAGCACACGUUACUGCUCCAUUGAGUAU
rnacentral:piRNA from 1 species